rnacentral:lncRNA from 1 species
CCACUUCCUAGGUAGAUCACUUGUCUCUUGGAUGUCAAAGAAACAAAAUAGUGUUGCUUUGUCAACGGCCGAGGCGGAAUACAUUGCCGCCGGUGCUUGUUGUGCACAAAUUCUCUACAUGAAACAAACUUUGCUAGACUAUGAAGUAGUACUAGACAAAGUACCUUUGUUGUGUGACAACGAAAGUGCCGUAAAACUUGCAAACAACCCGGUUCAACACACCCGCACAAAACAUAUUGACAUCCGCCACCACUUCCUUAGGGAUCAUGUUGCUAAAGGUGAUAUAUCCUUAGAGAAUGUGGGAACGGAAAAUCAAUUGGCGGAUAUCUUCACAAAACCCCUAGAUGAAGCUAGGUUUUGUAUGUUGAGAAAUGAACUUAAUGUGCUUGACCUAUCCAACUUCACUAAAAGAUAAAAGUUGUGUGUUGAAUCUUGUAAAUAACUUUUUCUUUGCAUAUCAUGCAUACUAAAACUAAAAAUAUAACUUGCAUGUAGGGCUUGUCUAACAUGGUUAAGAUAACCCCCUUGUGUGUGUGAAAAAGCUUAACCUUGGUUCAAACUUGACAAGCAUUAGUUUACUUUCAAGUAUUGCAUUACAACUCAUAUCAUAUGCAUGCUUGUUAGUUGACCGUUUCUUUUCGGUUAUUCGUUGAGCAUCCACUGUGUUCGUCCAUAGAUAGGGGGAGCAUUCAAAGCUCAUGGUGAUUCAAACCCCUAGCUUUAUGGCCAUAUGAUGCUCCUUCGUGAUUUUCUCGAACUAUUUUCAUAAAAAUCUACUAAGCCUAUGGCUAAAUAUUUGUGAAAAUUUGAGGGUUUGAGAGAAGUCACUCAUACCAGUUCCAUUUGGUGUUUUAUUGUGUGCUUUUGGAAAUGGAACUUGGUUGGGUCAAAGUCGGACGUGAUGCUUAGUUGGAAAAGUGCUCAGAGGAGCACCGGACGAUGCACCGGACGCUGCCUCUGUGCGUCCGGUGCGGUGAGUGUGCCAGACUGCACUCACCGGACGCAGGAACAGUGUUCCUGCAGCGUCCGGUGCUGUGCGUCCGGUGCUCACCCUUUGUGACCUGAAGCACCGGAUGCUAAAGCCAGCGUCCGGUGCCCAUCGUCCGGUGCAAUGCCGAAUUGCAGACCUCUCUGCGCAUGAGUCCGGUGGUCACCGGACGCGUCCGGUGCCACAUUAAGAGCGUCCGGUGACCCCGCGGCGGGCGCAUAUAGCCCGCGCCCAGGGGCUCUCCGCGGCAGUUUUUCUUCUUCCUCCUUCAAUCUCUGGCCGCGCCCGUGCCCUAGCGCCGCCGUCGUCGUUCGUGCGUCGUUUCCCGGCGAGUUUGGAGUCUUCCCCCGCGCCAGAUCCGCUAAGGGACUUCUUCCCUUCCCUUUCCUCGCUCUGGUUUCCUUCUUUGCGAAGAGAUUAGGGUUUGGGGUAAGUCCUUUACUCUGUCCCCCAAGGUGCUCGAGUCUUUGUGUCAUUGGAAAAGAAUGGUGUUUUGAUCUCGAUCUUAUACCUCAAUUCCUUGUAGCACCUUGAGGAAGAGGGUUCGUGGUCUCCGGCAGUCUUCGAUCGAGAGUUUCUCAUCCGGAUUGCGUCUCGUCUGUCGAUCGUAAGCCAUUCACGCUCGUUUCCUAUCUUUUCUUGUGAUCCAUAGGUUUAUCUCCCCUCUAGUCGAUAUGAUUGCUUAUAUAGAUCCUAUCUUGUCGAUUCCCUGCAGCGCUUUAAUCUCCAUUGUCAGUCAGUUGUUUGUCGGACGGUUGUUUUGCAAUGGCUCGUACCAAGAAUGCUAGCGGUCCGACAGCCGGCACUGAAGAUGCCUCAGGUGGUGAUGGUGGAGGUGAUCCUCCCCGUCGCUUCUCAGCGGUAGAGAAAGGCAAAGGAAAGAAGCUGGCCACCAAGAAGUGCAAGGCAAGUGACAGAGAGGCAGAGGUCGCAGAGGCAGUUGCAGCAGCGGCCGAGGCAGCCGAGAGAGGUGGUCGCUCUGGUUCUCUGAGGAUCGGUGAUGAUCUUACGCCACGUUAGCGGCGUGCAGUUCUUGAGGCAGAGGCAUUCCAUGGAUCCCCUCCAGGCACUGUGAUAGUUGGAGGACAGAGGAUUAGGCUUGUGGUUAGGGAUCCGGCUCAGGAGGAUCCGGACACUGAGACAGAGACCCAGGCAGAGGGUCCAGCAGAGGGACAGGAGCAGGAGCAGCCACUGCGGAGGUCGACUCGUGCUCGUACUCAGGCCACUCCCCGGACUGGUACGCAGGGUCAGUCCACCUCCACAGCUCGUGCCACUCCGGCUAGAGGCACUCCAGCUUCCCGCCAGAGGCCAGUCAGGAUCCACCGGGAUCUUACUCUUGUGUCAGCCAGAGAGAUCCAGCAGCUGAGGUUUGUCCCGUUUCCCACUUGGUUUCCAGCUGCCAGGGAUCCCAGAGCAGGUGCCCGCUUCUACACAGUCGUCCAGGAGGACAUCCACGAGGCACUGGUUCGCUCUCAGUCUCAGUUCAGGGAGCAUAGGGUGAUUGACCUAGAGAUUCUCGGGAACGUGGUCGGGGCAGACAUUCGUCAGUAUUUCACUUACCUCCAUGGACUCCCAGAGCUGCUAGCGCUUCCCGGUACUUAUUGUGAGCAGUGGGUUAGAGAGUUCUAUGCGUCAGUGUGGAUUUCUCCAGAUCAUAGUUAUAUCCACUACGCACUGGCAGGGACCGACUACCGAGUGACAGCACAGUUAGCCACACAGGUGCUUGGACUACGAGCCUCUCCCACCAGGAUUCACCAGCUGUGCUACGGGAACGUGGAUCCCCCUCGUCAUCCUCACGAUGGUGAGAUACCACCGGUUGACUUCGUGGCUCCAUGCUUACGUGCACCCUUUGGGGAGGGCUCUAGCAGGACAGUGGGAGAUUUGACACGCCCAGCCAGGAUCCUUGACUUCGUGUUGAGGAAGACCCUUCUCCCCAGGACAGGCUACAGAGACGGGUUCACUCGCAUCUAGCAGUGGUUAGUUGCUCACCUCAUCUCCCAGACAGAGUUCGAUUUGUGGGAUCUGAUUGUCUCAGAGAUAGAGGACACCAUCUCAGAGAGCUUCAGAGGCCCGGCGUCAGUUGCCCUACGCACAUUGGAUCACCCUGAUUAUACUUCGUGCUAGGCCACUGCCCCUGCCAGCUCACUUGCAGAGGGAGUUGACAGAGUCCAACACAGUCUUCCCCCACUACGACCCCAGGCAGAUGUUGAGAGCGCACCACGACCUCAGAGGUGCACCUCCUCCUCGUGCUCCACGUGGACCGGUGCCCCCACCUUCUCCUAGGGGCACCCGCAGUACAGCAGCAGUUGCAGAGACAGAGGAGCAGCAGGAUAUAGCUAUUGGCGCGUUUGCUGAUGCAGAGGCAGAGGGCGAGUUUGACUUCGCCUCAGACACUUCAGACGACGACUAUCAGCCGCCAGCGACUGACCUUCCUCCCAGAGCUCACGACCACGAGGCAGGCGGUUCUUCGAGUGCUUCAGACCCUGCCCUGCUUGCUAUCUUAGAGGGGAUGAGGGCAGAUCAGCGGCGUGCAGCUGAGGAGCAGGCGAGGCGAGACAGGGAUCAGGCUGCCAUCAAUGCAGCCAUGCAGGCCAGGCAGGAUGAGCUCCAGCGUCAGCUUCUCACUUUUCAGGAGCAGCAGCUUGCUUUCCAGGCCCAGCAGACAGCGAUGAUGGCCGCUCUCAUGGCCGCCUCAGGGAUUCAGCUACCGCAGAUCCAGCUCCCAGGCACGUCGUCUGUCAGGCCACCUACUCCAGUGCCUCAGACUCAGAGCCCGUCUCAGCAGCCGCUUCAGCUACCAGCUCAGAGUCAGCCGUUUUCAACUCCACAGCACCAGGUCUCUCAGGGUGCUAUCUCUUCCGGCUUUGAGCAGGUACCUCAGUUCACUCCUCUCCGCUCAGGCUUCACUCCUCAGUCAGCGUCAGCGUCACAGCUUGUGUGGGAUUCACAGACAGAUCCGCACCUCAGCUUCACCUACAGUGCUCUGACUGGUGACCCUACGCCUCCUCCUCUGUAGGCUCCUGCAGUCUUUACGGCGUCAGUUACCACUACAGAGCUUCUGUCGUCGUCAGUAGCGUCGUCCGAGCAGCUUGCACCGUCUACUACACUACCAGAGACGACAGCUACAGCGACCGAGUCCGUGCCUGCUUCGUCAGCCGGACUCGAGCAGCCAGCACAGCCUGUGACAGCUCUAGAGCAGACCCGGACCGCUUCUCCAGCUCCUGCAGCUUCAGAGGGUCACUCCACUUCCUCUGCCUCGACGGCCGACAGUUCAGAUGAUGCAGCUCGCUUCGUGACCGUGCCGAGGGACUCCACUGCUCCGCCUCCUCCACCAACUUCUUAGGUUUUUGGCGCUUGAUGCCAAAGGGGGAGAGAGUUCGUAGUAUGGGAGUUAGGAGUUAGGGGGAGCUAGAGAGGGUUUAGGAGUCUUCUUUUGAGGAGUCUAUUCUUUUGAGAUACCCUUUUUUUUAUGUGUGCUACUUUUUCAUGCAUCACGUUUACUUUAAUGCAUUGCACUUGUGUGAGAUACUAUGGUUGUGAGACAUGACUUGUGGUUAUUGUGAUAUCUUAAUGUCAUGUGUUUUGGCUCUUUUUACCCUUUGCUUCCGCGUUUUACUCUGAUGUAACUAUGAGCCUUAUGUUUAUAUCCUGUCGUAUACCACUCACAUAUUUGGAUGCAGGGUAUUGGAUUUGGUUGAUAUAAGCAGGACUAAUCCCCUUGUUCUUAUUGUAAUAUGCUUAUUGAAACCAAAUCACUUUAAAAACCUCAACUCUCUUUAUACACGAGGUUGUCAUCAAUCACCAAAAAGGGAGAGAUUGAAAGAGCAUCUAGGACCCUAGUGAUUUCGGUGAUUAAUGACAUUAUUGAUUACUAUGACUAACGUGUGUUUUGCAGAGGCAAAGUCAUAGGUAAGGUCGUGGUAAAUAGGUUCUCGAUGGACAGGGACAUACAUGCCUACUUAAUAGUGGAAAUCGUUUCGGUUUUCAAAGGAUGGAUGGACAUUGUCAAGGCUAGACUAGGUCUAAGUGCCAUAUGGUGAAGAAGGGCACUUGGAGUAGUUUAGGACUUUGUUUUCCUUGGACCGUACUAUUAAGAGGGGCUUUGAUCUAGUAGCUUGACUUAGGCAAGGCUUUAGGUUUAGGUGUGGUGCACACUUAGUAAACCUAGCUCUAGGCAGCUCAGAGAUAGUCCUUAGAUCGAGAGGAACCAACUUCGUUUUGGAGCGUUCUCGUUUCAACGAAGGUUGGGUGCCCAAAGGGGCACCGGACGCUCUGUGAGUGCGUCCGGUGAGGUCCCUAGCCGUUAGAACAGUGUGGUGCUUAGGGUUAGGCACCGGACGCUAGCACCGGACGCACCGGGUAGCGUCCGGUCCCUUACCCAGAGAGCUUGCGAGCUUUCCCUGAGCACCGGACGCGCCGGGUAGCGUCCGGUCCCAUGCGCAGGGAGCUUGUAAAGUUUUCUCGAGCACCGGACGGUGCACCGGACGCUGGGAGUUAGCGUCCGGUGACCUGUCAGAGAAAAGUGCAGGUAGCCGUUAUGAAGCACCGGACGCUCGGUGCAGUGCGUCCGGUGCAACAUAAUGUGCGUCCGGUGACCCCGUUUUCAGUGGAAAACGGUUGGCCGACCUUUAGACUUCGUGGAUAGUAUUUAUACUUUUCCACCUCGUCCAUGAAAGGUCUCUUGCCCAUUUGAACAUCAGAUAAACUUGUUGUGGAGCAAGAGAGUUGCAAGAGCCUAGAGAGGAUUGAGUUUUGAGUGAAUUCUUGAGAGAAUCCUCCUCUAGUGAGUUCCAAGAGUCAAGUGUGCAUCCACCACUCUCUAGUGCCUUGUUUGGGUCAAGUGAGAGUUCUUUGCUUGUUACUCUUGGUGAUCGCCAUCACCUAGACGGUUCGGUGGUGAUUGGAGGCACGAAGAUCACCCGGAGUUCUUGUGGGUGGCUCGUGUCAAGCUUGUGAGCGGUUUUGGGCGAUUCACCGUGACGGAGUGUCGAAGAAUCAGCCCGUAGAGAGCACUUGGUCCUUGCGCGGACCAAGGGGGAGCAAGACCCUUGCGCGGGUGCUCCAACGAGGACUAGUGGAGAGUGGCGACUCUCCGAUACCUCGGCAAAACAUCGCCGAGCACUUUCUUCCACUACUCCUUUACUUUCUAGCAUUAACUUUGUGCUUUUACAUUCUUAGAAUUGCCUUGCUAGAAUAGGAUUGGAACUAAGUUGCAAAACUUUUAUUCGGUAGCUCUCUAAGUCACACUAGGCACAAGGGGUUGAAUUGGAGCUUAUAGGUUGCUUAAAUUUUUAGAGAAGCCCAAUUCACCCCCCCCCCUCUUGGGCAUCUUGAUCCUUUCAAAUAGAAAAUCUAAUUUUGUUGUACUAUACAUGAGUAGAUCUACACAGUGAAUAUAUAAUAUGAUACACUUUAAUACAAAAUUUUUGCUAUGAAUGUUUUGCCAUUUUAUUUUUUUUAUUUGGCUAAACCUUUGAAAAAUCAUAGUAAAUCACAAAAAAAAAUAUAAAAUGGAAAAUCCAUUUUUGUUGGACUCUACCUGAUUAGAUAUACACAACAAACAUAUAAUAUGGUAUGCUUCAAUUCAACAAAAUUAUUAUAGAAGCUGCAACUAUGAAUUAUUUAAAUUAAUUACAAAAAAGCAUAGAUCUAUAGCUACAAUAAAAAAAUUAUACUAAAUUACAUGUUCACUAUGUAGAUAUGUUCAUGUGGAGUCUAACAAAAUUGAAUUUUCUAUUCUAUGAUUUUUCUAUAAUUUACUAUGAUUUUUCAAAUAUUUUAGCCGAAAUAAAUAAAAAAGAAAAAGACAAACCUUCGUAGGAAAAACUUUGUACUAAAACAUAACAUAUUAUAUGUUUACUAUAUAAAACUACUCAUGUGAAAUUUAAAAAAUAGGUUUUCUAUUUUUAUGAUUUUUUUUAUAAUUUACUAUGAUUUUUCAAAAAUUUAGCCGAAAUAAAUAAAAAAAGACAAAACAUCAUUACUGUAGCAAACCAUUAUUCGCUAUAGCAAAACCACCUUCAAAACCACUCUAAGGAGGUAAAAUCUGCGGUUUGAAAAGUUGAGAAAUGUGGUUUGUCUAGUUUAAAUUUGAGAGAGGAAAAACGGACUUUGUGAAAGUGAACGAAUAAAAAGUAGACUUUUUCCUCACAUGAUUGACAUAUCUGUUUCAAGAAAAUAAUAGAAUAUUUGAUUACAACAGAUGAUCAAACAUAUGCUUGUAUGUUAAUAUAUUAAAUAUUUAAAGUAUUUCACAUGAUAUAGAUGAUAUGGAUAUUUUUUGUAGUUAAUAUGGGAUGACAUAGACUUAGUGGAGAAUAAUGUAGACAUCUUGCAUGAAGAGAUAGAACAUUUAGUGGGUCACUUAGCGGGGAAUAAUGUGGACACCUUGCAUGAAGAGAGAAUUCAUCUAGUGGGGUUUAGCUUUAUAAGAGUACUAGGAGGAUUCCUCGCGCGUUGCUGCGGGUAUGAAGAAGAAAUAUAAGUAGGUUAGAAUAUGUAUUGCUAAUGGAUAACUUGUAUGUUUAGAGAAAUAGGUAACUUGGUGACGUGGAUAUUACAAUUGCAUGAGUUAAUGGAUUUUAAUUAUGUGUGAUAAUAGAUUGCUUAGUUUGAUAGCUUAUAUGUUGAGAGAAAUAGGUAGUGGGGUGUGAUAGUGUCUACUUAGAUAGCUUGCAUGUUGAGAGAAGAAAUAGGUAACUUACUGACAUGGAUACUACAAUUGCCUUAGCUAAUGGAUUUUAAUUGUGUGUGAUAAUAGAUUGUCGAGUUGGAUAGUUUGCAUGUUAAAAGAAAUAUGUAGUGUGAGAUGUGAUAGUGCAUUGUCUACUUAGAUAGUUUGCAUGUUGAGAGAAAUAGGUAGUGGGGUUUUACUUUAUAAGAGUAUAAAAUAAGAUAUGAUUCAUAGCCAGCAGUCCGCUAUAUAAAUUAAAGGUAUAAAUUAAAGGAAUAACAUAGGUUCAUGUGACCGGUGAAAGAGCUACUAGAGUUGUUUGUAAGAAGUUCAAAUGCACGAAUUGAGUUACUCGCAUUACAUGUAGCCUUUAUGAAAACCAAAAAAUGAGGGGAAUUUUUUUUUUUUUUGAAGAUGAAGAAUCAGGAGGGGCUCGGAGCCCUUAAGAAAUUACAAAUUCACUUGGGCUUUCAUAUGAUGUACUACGUCCAUCCUGAUAAGGAUGUAAUUUUACUUCUCUACUUGGUCAAACUAAAACUUUAACAAAAUGUUAAAUAUUAACAUUUAUGAUAACAAUAUAUUUCAUGAUGAAUACAAUGACACUUAUUUGGUAGAAAAAACAUAUAGCUUUUUGUAUAAACUUUGCCAGAUUCAAAAUCAUCUACCUCGAUACUAUGCUAAAAUUAUAUUCUUUUCAAGAAGGGAUGAAGCAUUCAUUGUGAGUUUCUAUUUUUUGGAAUCGAGUAAAUCGGUUCCUAAACUCAAUUAUGUCUCAAUCUCAAAAUAAAUCAAAUCCUAGAAUAGGACUAAAUCAAACUAUUUUGAGUUUAACCAGCUUGAUAGUGAAGAAAUACAAUAUCUAUUACAUCAAAUAAGUAGACUAUGAAAAUAAAAUUUUAUGAUGUAUCUAGUGAUGCUAGUUUAAAUCAUAAAUAUUUGUGAUCUUUUCUACAAAUUUGACUAAAUUUAAAAUAAUUUAAUUCAUGACAACUUUAAAAUGUAAUUGAGGGAGUACUAUGUUAAUAAGCCCUCCAACUCAGGGGGUGUUUAAUUCCCCUACAAUAUUCUAAAAGAUUUUGGGUUUUGGUCCAUUAUUUUACAUAAUAGAACUAAAUACCAUGCAAAUUUUUGGUAAAAAGAUGGUUAUUCUUUAUUUUAGAUUUUAGCCUCAAAAGGCCAGAAAAACUCAAAAAAGCCUAAAUUUUGUAUUUUAGAUGGAACUAAACAUAACCUGAAAAUUUUAGCAUUUUGUAUUCCAUCAUUCUAAAAUAGUUGACAUUUUGUAUUUUUUUAACUAAACACCCCCUCAAUUAAAUUAGCUUAGCAGCCGGCUUUCCACGACAACGCAAGAAGUGCGAGUUGGGACUUGGGAGGCACGGAGAGAACGGACACGUGGGCAACUGGCUAGGCGGGCCCACUCGACGAUGAAUUUCUUCUAAAUACGAUUCACGCAACAAAAGAGGCCCAGGGAGCGUGGCCACGUCGCCCGCAAUUCUCGGCCGUCCGAUCGGCCGGCCGAACGGCCCAGAUCACCAUUCUCAUUUUACAAAAAAGCUCUCGCACUUUGUUGAAAUAUAACCCGCCGUCCAGCCUGUGGAUCGGGCCAUUCUCUGUAGUUUUUCGAAAAAACCCUCGCACUUUGUUGAAAUAUAACCCGCCGUCCAGCCCACUCUCUCAUAUUUUUUAUUCAAAAUAGUCCUCAAACUUUACUGAAAUUAAAGAUCAGUCCAUAUGCGCCUGCCUCCAACCUGGGCCGGCCUCAAGCUUGCUGGGCCUAAGUGGGCCAAAUACGACCCUAUACUAUUUUUAUUUUCCUAUUAAUUUUUAAUCUUUUCUUUUCAAAAUAGAGAUCUCAAAAAAACGUUAAAAAAAUAUAGAAAAAUCAUAAAAAUACCAAACUAAUUUUGUUGAGUUUAUUAUGACUAGAUCUAUGCAUUUAACUUAAAACAUCAUAUGAUUUAGUGUAUUUUAUUUGAUAGAUAUAUACAUCUAUAAUUUUAUGUCAGUGAUUAAUUUUUUGUUCGUAUCGCAUAUGAACUAAAAAUAUCUCUAAAACUUAAUUCUAAAUAAAUUCAUACUCUUGUUCACAAUCUUUGCUUUCUAAUUAUCCCCAUCUUAACUCUAAAUCAAUUCAUAUAUUUUAUACUAACUCGUAAUAAAAAAAAAUCCAAAACAAAUAAUCGCUGACAUAGAUAUACCAAGCCAAAUAUCUCACCAUAUAUAUGACAUUCCGUACACUCGCAUGAUGAAUACAUCAUAUGACGCAUGUAAACAAACAAAAUGAAUAUAUUUAAAAUGUACACCGUAUAAAGAAAAAAAUAAAAACACAUAAACAUAAGUACGGCGCAUAGCUAACCACCGGUCAUAAGCGGACACGAGUUAGGAUGGAAUUCGAGUCGAAGACGACGCUUGCGCGCCACGCGAGCGCGGGCACUAUUUACUGUACCUCCCGUCCCGCGUGGAUCCAAACCAUUACGUCAACAACCGAUCCCAUCCGCGCUCCAUCCACCGCCGCCGCCGCCACCACCUCAACUCGCUCCUCGUCUUCCCGAGCGCUCCGCCGCGAGAUGGCGAUGGCGUUCGCCUCUUGCGCUUCCACCAGAUCUGCCGCCGGCGACGCUUUCUCCUACGACGACGUGGGGUCGUCGCGCGGUUACCGCCUGGUGACGGUGCGCGGAAGAAGCUUCGUGGAGCUGGAGGGCAUCGUCUUCGACUCGGAAAGGUUCUGCUACCGGCGGACAUCGUCCCUGCUCGACUCGCCGCCGCGAUCUGGAUCUCCAGAUUACACGCCUGGAUCGCUGGAUUGUUCGUCGCAGCGGUCUGGAUCGCCGGAUUAUUCGCCGGCCACCCCGGACCCGGCCACACCGUCGUCGCAGCGAUCUGGAUCGCCAGUCUACUCGCCGGCCAGCCCGGAGUACACUCCAUUAUUGAAGCCGUCGUCGCGGCGUUUUGGAUCGCCAGAUUACUCACCGGCCACCCCGGAGUACACUCCCCUGACACCGUCGUCGCAGCGAUCUGGAUCGCCAGUCUACUCGCCGGCCAGCCCGGAGUACACUCCAUUAUUGACGCCGUCGUCGCGGCGUUUUGGAUCGCCAGAUUACUCACCGGCCAGCCCGGAGUACACUCCCCUGACACCGUCAUCGCAGCGAUCUGGAUCACCAGUCUACUCGCCGGGCAGCCCGGAGUACACUCCCCUGACGCCGCCGAAGCGAUCCGGGUCUCCAGCUUACACGCCGGCCGCCGCGAACUACACGCCCCGGAGUCCUUCAAGCUCGUCUUUAUCCGACUUCUUCCACGACUUUGAUCGCCACUGCACUUCGCCGUCUACGGGCUGCUCAUCGCGCGCCGUCUCGCCGGAGUACACGCCCGCCAGUGCUUCCGGCUGCUGUUCACCACCGGACUACUUCUUCUGCUACACUUCGCCGCCGUCUGCUGGGUACUCGCCGCGCGACGCGUCGCCGGAGUACACGCCUUCGAUUCCCCUCAUCAGCCUUCCCCGGCGUGCUGCUUCUCCAGACUACACCCCGAGCUCCCCUUCGGUGGUGUCAGACGCCGUUUCACGCACGUCUCCACCGAGCCACCGCCGGUUCCACCCGUACCAGAGGAGCCGGACCAGCUGCUGCCAGAGUCGCCUUCCUCCUCCCAGCAUGGAUACUAAACGCAUUCAGUAGUUUGUAAGAAGAGGACAAUCUUGGUUGAGGCAGAUCAAUGCCUGAAUUCUAUGUAUGCAUAAUUAAUCGAAUAUUUUGCCUUUGGCGAAUGUUUUGUUUAGAAUAAGUAGAAUGCUUGUAAUAGGGGAUAUUCUGUAUGAAAAGCAUCAGUGGGGGAGAUAUUCUGUAUGAAAAUCAUCAGUCAAAUGUUUGUAAUAGGGGAUAUUCUGUAUGAAAAUCAUCAAUAGUUUUUGCUGCAGAUUUGAUCUGACAUUGUUUUCUUGCACGUUGCUUCUUCACCUCUGAAUUGUGAUUGUUCUCUAUACUGAACUUUAUUGAAACCACGCCAUUUAUUUUCUAGGAACUCCAUAUGCCUACAUUCCUGGCGUUAAAAGAUUUGACAGAAUCGUCGUCUGAAACUGUAACUCUCAAAAUGAACAAAAACCUGAACUGACAGAGUCCAAUAAAUCAGGCAGCAGAACAGCAGAAACCGGAGCUCCUUCAAGCUUCAGAUCAGUCACACAAGCCAAAGGAAACUUUUUUUUUUACAACAAAAGGUAGGAUAACGAAAGGCAUGCCACCUUUCUACGUAUGGCACAAUUAAUCAAGUAUUGAUUUGCCUUUGCCUUUCUGUAUGAAAAUCAUCAGAACUUUUUUUUUUUUUUUGCUAUUUGGUCUGAAGUUGUAGUGCACGUUGCUUCUCCACCUCUGAAUUGUGAUUGCGACGUUUUUCUUUUCUCAACUCUAUGGAUAGCGUGCACCGUUUAAUUUGUACUAGCAAAUCCAGAUGCGUACGACGAUGGCAGAAGAAUCGUCGUCUUGAAAUUGUAACGCUGAAGAGGAAGACAAGCCUGAAAUUGACAGCCCGAUAAAUCAGGCCGAAACAGCAUGCUGCAGCUGGCUCGAGCUUCAGAUCAGUCACAAGCCAAACGACACUGCUUUGAGCUUUCGACAACAAAGGUAAAGGAUCACGAAAGGAAAAUGUCUGCUUCUUUAUAAUCACUAUGAAUGGCAAUAUGACUCUCUCUCUCUCUCUCGAAGAAACCGGUCAACAAAACUCGGCAGCAGAAAGGGACGCUUCGUCCGAAUGGGCUGUUGGAUCAUCUAGAAGACAUGUCGAUGGAUCGAUCAAAGGCGGCGCUACAAAAGAAAUCAUUCAAAGCUGCACGUGCAACGUCUCAUCCCUUUGCCCUUGCCUUGCUUCAUGGCCUAACCUUAUCGGUUAAAGAAACGCAGCUUGCAUCACGGCAUGAAGAUGGAGUGGUUCAGACUUCAGAGAUAUUCCACACGUGUGUGGAGCUCGAGCUGUUCAAAGAACUGCUCAUGAUUCCUCGUAGGAAAUUCUUGCCAGAACCGGAAUGUUCUUGUGAUGAUGCAAGCAUGUACAUUGUACACUGAAUCAAAACGCCUCCAACCGACAAGGCACUCAGUUGAUCCACAACUUUUUGCCAGAGCAUCCGUCUAGUCCAAUGUUACAGCUUGCAAGUAAUCACAGACUUUGAACAACAGUCCGUGUUUGUUUUCAUGUCAUCCAUCCAUGGAAUCUGACUUGGAACAUACGGGGAGGGGAGAGUGUUGCUUUGAACUACCACUUUGGCUAGCCGGCACUGAAUUCAUUCGUCAUUGUUUUCUUUUAUCCUUUUGGUCUGCUUCCAGUAACACGAGCGAAAGCGAUAUAUAGCACUCCCUGCUUGUGCUUGAUAAGUAGGUUUUACCUCACUAAUGUCUCUAUCAUUGAUGACUUUCUCUUUUUUUUUUUGCAUGUUGCCAGAUUUGUCCACGCGGUCGCAGAAUAAUAAUAGAUCAAUAAACUGGAUAAGAUGGACUAGUGAAAAAACCAACAAAAUGGGGCCAGGUUUUACCAGCACUAGGUUGAACACUUGGUAUAUAUGAUGGCACAAGCCAACCACGCAAAUCAUAACCCGCAAGAGAGAGAAAAACAAAAUUGUCUUUAUUAUUACAUGGGCAUCAUCUUCUGCACAAAAAGAAAAUAGAUUGUUCAGCAGAUGCAACCAAACAAGACGAUGCUAAUAGGACGUAGAAUUAGGUUGCGACCUUUUUGUGUUUUGAUUGAGGGAAAGGUCGCAAAAGAGAGAGAGAGAAUAUGUCAUAACCGAUAGCUGAAGGCGUAUUAUGUAAUUGGCGUAUUCAUCUCUGUAAAGCGUAAAGAGGUUUACUACUUUGUAUCGGUCUAUGACAUGUAGGUCCCAGGGACCAGUAGGCUGCGGCCAUAUAUGGUUUGGAACCUGUUGCGUGUAAAACAGUUAAUCAUUUGGUAAUAGAACACGAGACAGAGAGGUUCCUCUGUUCUCCUCGUCGGCGAUAUCCGUUGUGUGCUCACGUCUCCGGCGAUCACCGCCGGUGGCCAGGGGUAUUACAGUGGUAUCAGAGACAGUCCAUCCUCGGCCCUUCCCUACCCACCCAGCUCGCUCUCGCUCGGCGUCGGCCGCACGGUCCAUUGCCAUCGAGCGAGAUUCACACGAGUUCGGUCCACAUACUCCUGCCGGAUCGAUCCGAUCCUCCAGCCACGACAAGCGCACGGCGGCGGCGUGAAGGGGUUCACUCGCAGCGUCACUUGCGAGUUGGCGAGAGGCGGCGGCGGCAGAUCGGGAUUCGCAUCGGCGACGGAUCCAGGCGCGGCACGGCGCCACGUCCACUGGGUGUCUACAUCUCCGGCUCGACAACUCGACUGGGGGACUACAUCAACCUCUUCGGUUCGGCGGCGUGAACCUCAGUGAGCUCUUCUCAUUCGCUCACAUCUAUUCCUUCUCGUGCUCGCAUCGUUUUCUAGCCCAGGGUUGCGGAACAAUUGUUUCCGUGUAAAAUUCCGUAAGCUAACGGAUGAUUGCGGAGCGGUGGCGUUGGCGAGGAACCGUCCUUCGAUUUGGGUUGCGGAGCACUGUUUCCGUUGUAAAAUUCCUCGAUCGAGCCUCGGUUCCGGGAGUUGGGGAUUUGGUGUUGCAGGAUUUUGGGGAGGUUGUUACUGAACCGGCUGCUACACCAUAUUUUGUUCUUCUGUUUUGAUUCAGUUGGUCACCACGGCACCAUCCAAGCCACCGAAACCUUCGGCUCAGACCUCCAUCUUGCUGGAUCAAAUGGCUACCAAUGCUGGGGUUGAGCAGGGCCACUGGCGCGAGGUGUUGGACCAUCUCGACCUGCUCUCUCAGCGCAUGAAUGAUUUGGGUGUCACUCAACAACAAGUCAAGCAACAGUUGCAGGAGACAAGCCGGAAAGUGGACAAGUGCACUGCUGAUCAAGACAUGAUAGCUCAGCAAGUCAGGGCGAAUGGACAUGCUGUUGCCCAGAUCACUCUUCGUCAGUUUGCCCAUGAGGACCGUUCAGAUACUACUGAAUCAGUAGUGGCAAAUGAGGUGGACACUUUUGAGAAUGUGUUUGCUGCCAAUGAGAGAGCCAACCCCAGACAGGACACAACUUUUCACCCUCGACACAAUCGGCUUCCACAUCGGCGGGACGUCUUACCUCAUCAUGCUUUGCCCAAGAUGUUGUUCCCUUCCUUUGAUGGCUCUCAACCCAAGAUCUGGCUGGAUAAGUGUAAGAACUAUUUCAGGAUCUAUCAAAUUCCUGAUACUCUGUGGGUGGAAGCAGCUUCAAUGCAUCUGCAAGAUAAUGCAGCCAAGUGGUGGCAGACUUACAAGAUGACUUAUCCAGAUGUCUCGUGGCAGCGGUUCUCUACUGAUAUCCAGAGUCAGUUUGGAGGUGAUGAUUACAGAGCGUCACUGAAUGACUUACUUGAUCUCAAACAGGACACCACAGUGGAAGAGUAUACUACCAAGUUUCAGUCCUUGCAGUACGAUGUCACUAUGCAUGGUGGCAAUUAUGAUCCUAUGUUUUUUGCCACUCACUUUGUCAGGGGUCUCAGGGAGGACAUUCGAGCUGUGGUGGAACCUCAGGUCCCUUCAUCUGUGGAGAAAGCUGUUAUUAUCGCCAAGAUUCAGCAAAAGGUCAUAGACCGCAGCAAACUGAAACUCAGCCAGAACAGACCCCCACCCAGGGGACAACAAGCCAAACCUGAAGCUAAACCAUCCAACAUCUAUGGCACUCUGUGGAGGGAUAAGCAACUCAGGGACUACAGGAAGGCUAAUAACCUUUGUUAUGGGUGUGGGGAGAAGUAUGAGCCUGGUCAUGCCGAGCACUGCCCCAAAAGAGCUAAACCUCAGUUGAAUGCUAUGAUAGUCAAUGACUUAGACAAAGAGAUCAGUGAAGACUUGCUCAAUGAGAUGGCUAUUGAUGAGAUGUUAACUGAAAAUUUUUGCCAACUUUCACUCAAUGCCAUGUCUGGUACUGAUUCUGGCAACUCUAUCAAGCUGAAAGCUACUGUUAAGAACAAAACCAUGUUGAUUCUGGUGGAUACUGGCAGCAGCCAUACUUUUGUCAGCGCAGCUUUUGUCCAGUUAGCCCGCUUACCUACAGUGGACAUUCAGCAUCAGAAGAUUCACCUGGCUAAUGAUACCUGGAUGUCCACAACCAAGCAAGUGAAACAAUUGGACUGGUAUAUCCAGGGCCAUACCUUUACUACUGACAUGAUUGUACUGGACCAGUUGCCUUAUGAUGCAGUCUUGGGAUAUGAUUGGCUCAGAACAUUCAGUCCUAUGCAGUGUGAUUGGCAGGCCAAAACAUUACAGUUCCAGCAUCAUCACCAGACUGUUACUCUUCAGGGUUUGGAACCUGCACCUGUGGCAGCAAGUCCUAUUUCGGCUAAAGGUAUGUUCAAAGCUAUUCAGGGUAAUGACAUUUGGGCUUAUGUCAUGGUGGAUAAGAUGGUUCCCGCUUCCCAUGCCACAUCACAAUCACAAAACCCGGAGAAUGCUGAUCUCCAGGAUCUCUUGCUUCAGUAUGCUAACAUAUUUCAGGACCCUAAGCAACUUCCACCACAUAGGAGCUAUGAUCAUGCAGUUCCAUUGUUUCCUGAUGCAGUUCCAGUGAAUGCAAGACCAUACCAUUAUUCUCCACAGCAUAAGACUGAGAUUGAGAAUCAAGUGAAGAAUCUGUUGGAAGCUGGGCUUAUUACUCACAGUCACAGUCCAUUUGCUUCUCCAGUGCUAUUGGUGAAGAAAAAGGAUGGGCAGUGGAGGUUUUGCGUGGAUUAUCGCAAAUUGAAUGCUCUCACCAUCAAAAACAAAUUUCCUAUGCCCAUUGUGGAGGAAAUCUUGGAUGAGUUGGCAGGUGCCAAGUUUUUCACUAAGCUGGAUAUGAGGUCAGGCUACCAUCAGAUUCGCAUGCUACCUGAAGAUGAGUAUAAAACAGCAUUCAAAACACAUCAAGGCCACUAUCAGUUUAGAGUUAUGCCUUUUGGCUUAACCAAUGCUCCUGCCACUUUCCAAUGCAUUAUGAACCAUCUGCUGCAACCAUUCCUCAGAAAGUUUGUACUGGUGUUUCUGGAUGACAUUCUCAUUUACAGUACCUCGUUGGAGGACCAUUUGCAGCACAUCCAACAAGUACUGGAAGUUUUAAGGAAGAAUCAACUAUAUCUCAAACCUUCUAAGUGCACUUUUGCCCAGCCAAGUUUGGAAUACUUGGGUCACAUAAUCUCUGCUCAAGGGGUAGCCACUGACCCAGCUAAGACUCAGGACAUGGUCAACUGGCCUACACCAUCCACAAUGACUGAACUAAGGGCCUUCUUGGGGUUCACUGGCUAUUACAGGAAGUUUGUCAAGAAUUAUGGGGUGAUUGCCAAACCACUGACUGCAGUGCUUCGGCUGAAACAAUUCCAGUGGUCAGCUCAAGCUCAGGAGGCUUUUGACAACCUCAAGGUGGCUAUGACUACUACUCCUGUCUUGGCCCUCCCAGAUUUCAACAAGCAGUUCCAGGUUGAAACUGAUGCCUGUGGUGAAGGAGUAGGGGCUGUGUUGAUGCAACAGGGCCAGCCAGUGGCUUAUCUUAGCAAAGCUUUGGGCACAAAGCACAAGGAUCUGUCCAUUUAUGAGAAGGAAUUCCUGGCCCUCAUUAUGGCAGUGGAAAAGUGGAGACCCUAUUUGGAGAGACAGGAAUUUGUCAUCCUUACUGAUCAUAGAUCCUUAUCCUACCUCAAUGAACAGAAUUUGCAUUCCAACAUGCAAAGGAAGGCUAUGACCCGGCUAAUGGGAUUACAGUUCAAAAUUGUCUACAAACAGGGCAAGGACAAUGUGGCUGCUGAUGCUCUUUCCAGGGUUGCCCAUCUCAUGUCUUUACAGGCAGUGUCUCAAGUGCAACCACAAUGGGUCCAGGAGGUACUCAACUCUUAUGCAACUGAUGCCCAGGCUCAGAAUCUCCUGACUCAACUGGCAAUCUCUAGUCCCAAUGACAAUGGUUUCAGGUUGGACAAAGGACUGAUCAAGAAGGACAAUCUCAUUUGGAUAGGUAACAACUCCGCCCUACAAACAAGGUUGAUUUCGGCAUUCCAUGCAUCUGCCAUUGGUGGACAUUCUGGUUCAAGCGCCACAUAUCACAGACUCAAGAAACUCUUUCUCUGGAAGGGCAUGAAAAAUGAUGUCAAUAGCUUUGUUAAGCAGUGCACCAUUUGUCAACAUUCCAAACACUCCCUUGAGCACCCUGCUGGACUACUUCAACCACUUCCUAUACCAGCUGGUGUGUGGCAAGAAUUGUCCAUGGACUUUGUGGAGGGCCUGCCUAAGUCAGAGGGCUUCACUGUGAUUUUGGUGGUGGUGGACAGACUCACGAAGUAUGCUCACUUCAUUCCUAUGAAGCAUCCUUAUACAGCAGCUACUGUUGCACAACUGUUUAUGGACUGCAUUGUCAAACUCCAUGGUUUACCUCACAGUAUUGUCAGUGACCGUGACCGGAUCUUUAUCAGUACCUUUUGGAAACAGCUGUUCAAGUUGUAUAAAGUCAAUCUGGCACUGUCUACUGCUUACCAUCCGCAGACCGACGGUCAAACUGAGCGUAUAAACCAAUGCCUUGAGAUGUAUCUGCGCUGUUCUGUCCAGGAUGAUCCUAAAACUUGGAAGACGUGGCUGUCUUUUGCAGAGUUGUGGUACAAUUCCUCUUAUCAUAGCGCCCUUGGUUGUUCUCCAUUCAAGGCUCUCUAUGGUUGUGAAGCUAAUCUGGGUGCCCCACUUCAGUCCACUGAGGACACCAUUCAGUCUGUGACAGAGGUCAUCGAGAAUCGGGAGGCCCAUUUAACAAUGCUCAAGCAGAGACUGGAACAUGCUCAAAACCGAAUGAAAAUUCAGGCGGACAAGAAACGGACUGACAGGCAGUUUGCUGUUGGAGAAAAAGUUCUACUCAAGCUUCAACCCUACACUCAAACCUCAGUGGCCAACCGUCCGUUUCCAAAGCUGGCAUACAAAUAUUUUGGUCCGUACACGGUUCUGGAACGAGUAGGAGCCGUUGCCUACAAACUGGAAUUGCCUGACCACAGCGAGAUUCACCCGGUGUUUCAUGUUUCCCAGCUCAAACCUUUCACACCUGAUUAUACACCGGUGUUCACUACUCUUCCAGUACUAACUGAUUUGCAGGCUUCUGAGGCUGUCCCAGAAUACAUUCUUCAGCGCCGUCUGGUCAAGAAAGGAAACCAUGCCAUUCCUCAGGUUCUGGUGAAGUGGUCAGGCUUACCUCUAACGUCGGCCACUUGGGAAGAUCACCAUGUCCUGAAGACGCGCUUUCCUGCAGCACCUGCUUGGGGCCAAGCAGGAUCUUCGGGCGGGGGAGAUGUCAUAACCGAUAGCUGAAGGCGUAUUAUGUAAUUGGCGUAUUCAUCUCUGUAAAGCGUAAAGAGGUUUACUACUUUGUAUCGGUCUAUGACAUGUAGGUCCCAGGGACCAGUAGGCUGCGGCCAUAUAUGGUUUGGAACCUGUUGCGUGUAAGACAGUUAAUCAUUUGGUAAUAGAACACGAGACAGAGAGGUUCCUCUGUUCUCCUCGUCGGCGAUAUCCGUUGUGUGCUCACGUCUCCGGCGAUCACCGCCGGUGGCCAGGGGUAUUACAGAAUACUACAGUUUACUAAUGAUUUUCCAGUCUGGACAUUGAACCAGAUAUACAUAUAUUUGAAGUCAAAAUUGUUAGGCAAUUCUCUGCGCUGGGAUUGGAGCCGAGUAGAGUAAUGCCCAUUUAACAGCACGCGAGGGUCCAAUCUUUGAACAGAGAUACGCAUGCGGACAGAGCUACAGACAAGUCCAAGUCUACUCCGUUUAAAAUUACACGUUAAUACUGGCUGUUACUAUUCGCCUGAUCAAUCAAACUACUUUUAUUUCAGGAACGGCGCCAUUCUGGACUGUAAUUUCUGCGUCUGAACCAUACAAAAACUCCCCGUAUGUCCGAGAAAACAGCCAGUCGAUCAGUCAACGUCGGCGCUGGCUUUGCCUAAUUUUCCAAUGCACGAAAAAGGAAAAAAGGUAUGCGCGGUAAAAGAUUGCGGUGGAGGAAAACCCAGUGGCCUGAAAAAUUGGACGCGUAUAUAUAUAUAUAAUAUUGCUUUUUCUUGCUUUACAAACUGAACUACCCUCAAGUCAACCGUGUGUAACGACGCAUUUAUUACUGUAGUUUGAACAGACACAGACGGGUAAGCAUCGAGGCAUCCAUCCAUCAUGUCAGCUCGAUCGAGAGUGAGGAGGACAGUGUUCAUGUCCACAAAAACUCUAUUAUUGCACGCCAAUAAUACACAUGAUGCCGUCUUUCGCAAAAUGAAAAGGGUCGUAGUACGUGUAGUAAUCGGCCGUUAAAAUGUGUUCCACAUAUCCUUCAAAAAAAAUGUGUUCCACAAUGUCAUGCUGAGUCGAUCGUAACAUCUCCAGAGCUUUUUUUUUUUCCUAUUUGGCAAAUGCUAAUAAGCUCAAAUUUUCCUGUUGUUUAGCUCAUGAUGUAGAUGUGGGUCAAGUCGGAAAACAUUGUAUAUAUCAUUAGGGUCGUGUAACCUCCCUCAUUUUUUUUUACACAAAGCUAAUACUACAUAGCUUUAGCCAUCAUCUCCAUGUAGUAUGAUCAUACUAUAUAUAACAUGGUAUGAUCAGUGUGUGAAUGCUGUUCUUCCUAGGCUAGCCCUAGAGUGGAGCUGAGUCCCUUGAUUUGGGCAAUGCUGCUGCCUGCACUGGCUACAGCGCCACAAAAGCGCAGUGUCAGCAAAAGACUUUCGCACUGCCCCUAUAUAGCCGCGUUAAUUAUCUGCACAUUAGCGCCUACGUACAGGCUACAGAAUCCUAUUGUUUAAUCUUCAGUGGGCUGCUCGAGAGACGGCGAUUAACCGGCGCAGGCGCAGCUACCCAUCCAGUUUUCUACUGUACAGAUCAUACUGAUUUGUACCGUAGCGAUGAGAUUCUACGGCCCGUUUCUGUCGUGUAGCAGAACUGCAGAAGGCAGUACUGGCUGCUGACUGACAAGUGGGGCAAGCAAAGGCACACGUGGCAACUGAACUUCGUAAGAAAUUUUUUUAGUCGGUUUUUUUUGGGGGGGGGGGGGUUGAGAAAGGUAAGGAUGGGAUGGGAAAGUGCUUGAAGAAUUGCUCGCGCGCUCAUCAUAACGCUUCCAACGCACUCAAGGUUUUUUUCAGUCAGGUCAUGGCUUUCUGCCCAUGCAUGCCCAUGUUAACAUCACAUUCACAGUACCCUCUCUCUCUCCCUCUCUCCAGAUCUUGUCCCAGCUAGCAAAUGGAAUAAUCAUGACACAUGGAGUGGUGCCUAAUAACAGUGCAGAUCGGUCCACGGUCAGCUACGUUACUAGCGCCAGUACUGUGCAACACACUUGUCGUCCUGUCGACGUUGUCGUUCUCUCGCACUUCUAAAUUGUUGACGCCUAUAAACUCCCUCCAUGCGAUUCUAAAUUAUCGUCUACUCUUAUUAGGUACUCCCUCCAUGGCUCCAUCCCAAAAUAACUACGUCUACGCUUUACGAGAAAUAACUUUGAGUAAAUAUAUAUUAAAAACUUUAAUAUUUCUAAUACAUAAUUAAUAUCAUUGGAAAGUUCUUUGAGUCUAGUUUUUUAAUAAAUUUAUUUGAAGAUACAAAUAUUGCACAUAUUUUCUAUAAAUCGAGUCAAAAUUUUGGUAUGAAAAUAAAAAACGACAGGACAGAAGGAGUAUACCUUAAAUUCAGAUAUAGUAAAAACAAUAUAUUUAGAAAAAAAACAAAAAUAUCUUAUAAUUUAACAAUGGGAAGGGGGCAGCAUAUACAUACCAAAUAUUAUGUUUAUAGGAAAAAUAAAACGACUUAUAAUAUGAAAUAGAUGGAGUGGUAUUUAUUGUGUAGAGACACUUGGCAAUUCUUGGCAUUAGAAUUGAACAAACAAAAAUUAUAAAAUCCACCUUUGAAGUAGAAGCUAAAACUCUGGCAGCUCCAAUUAUGCUAAUAAUUUUAGAUUUAUGUGAGAUCAAACAUUUUUUAUACCAAAUUUGUUUUAUUUAAUGUACUCUGACAUUUAUACAAAAAUCUAUGAACAUUUUUCAUACCAAAUUUGUUUUAUUAAGUGUACUCUGACAAUGUAUUUAUUCAAACUUACAGAGGUUGAUACAACAUUUUCCUAAAACUUUAUUUAAAUUCAAUGAAUUUUUGGCUAAACAUAAAACUAAAGUAAACUAUAAUUUUAAAACGGAUGGAGCAAAUUAAGUUGUCCACCUUGCAUCUUUUGCAUGGAAAACCUUGUAGAGAAUUCAACAAUCCGCACCGUACAAAUACAAAGCUACCUGUCCACGUUUCCCAACUUUUUGGAUGAUCUUAUAUUGAUGCAUGCAAUGCAACUCAAAUACUACCUACAACCACAUGAUCACGCUCGCGGCAUCAACAAACCUUCCCUUCUCAUAAUAAAUUAGUAAUAAUCUACAUAGAAUUCGGAUCAUGAUCAACACCUAGCCCAAAGCCAUAUCCUUUUCUUUGUCGAUUCAUUCAUUGUCAGUUCUAUACCAUACCAUCUGAGUAUCUGACGCCGGCAAGUUGGCAGAUCAUAUUUUGUAAACCUGCUCUGGGAAAAAAGGGAAGCCUCAAUGAACACUGCAAAUUGCGUUCCAAUCUGUCAAUUGCGUCUCAGCCGGUCCCCAACUCUGACUGUCCCCACGUUUUCAGGCCGCAAAACUUUUCCCCCGCCCGCUGGCUGGCUCCUGCUCCUGUUCCGGUCCAAUCACUAGACCUUUCCCUUUCGAUGACCGCCCGACCUCCUCCUGCCUUUAUCUUCUUCCUGCAGCCAUGAUGCUCUCUCUCUCGAUGCAUGGAGCAUGAAGCAAAGCACACGCCCCCCGGCCCCUCUCACUUGCAUCCUCGUUCCUCCCAUCCAUUCCCGCCUCCCUCUCUUCUUCGAUUGAUUCAGGAGAGCCCAUACAUUUCCUGCACUGUAGCCUGCCUCCAUCUUGUGCGCCGUGCAGUGCAGGCCAAGCUCCUGUUGUUUUGGCCGGCUUUAUGGCCAUCACCUCACCUGCAGCAACUUCAACAAGUACUCACAACCGCCACAGCGGCUAGCUAACCACAGUCACAGUGCAGUAACUCUGCUGCAGUCACACCUGCCCACUAGUUUCGUCACCUGUUACGUCGCCGUCGUCGCGUCGCCAUGGAUUCUUUCUUCUUGAUGGGGGGAUGCAUCGCAUGGGAGUGAGUGCUCCCGCCGGCAAUAUACCAUCAAAGAGCUUUUCUGGUACCGCGCGCCGCUGCAUUCUUCUCGCCUCGCCGGUCGCCGCCCUGCGUUGUGAGUUGUUGGCGUUUUUCGGCUGCCGGUGGCGUGUUUGGCUCUUGAUCUGGAUCUUGUUGCCUUCUUGGAUCGCGGGCCUGUGCUGCUGCGGGAGCAUCAUCCCUGUGCGUUUCUUUAUUACUGCGUCUUGUUGAUCCGGUCCGUGGUGGUGGUGCGCGCACGCAAGACGGACGCAAGAUGAGCAUCCCGCACCUGUUCCGGUGCCCCAUCAGCCUGGACAUCUUCACGGACCCGGUGACGCUGUGCACGGGGCAGACGUACGACCGCCCCUGCAUCGAGCGCUGGCUCGCCGCCGGCCACCGCACGUGCCCCGUCACAAUGCAGCCGCUCGGCGACGCCGCGCUCGUGCCCAACCGCACCCUGCGCCACCUCAUCGAGCGCUGGCUCUCCGCCGACCACCACCACCAGAUCCCCGACGACGACGCGGAGGAGCCGUCGCUCGCGGCGCUCAAGCGCUGCCUCCAGUCCGGCGCCGGCGCCAGGGACAAGGUGGCCGCGCUCAGGAAGGCCGUGGCGCUGGCCUCCGAGUCGGACGUCGGCCGCGCGUGCAUGCUCCAGCUGGGUUUCCUCCCCGUGCUGCUGCAGCUCGUCUUCCACGCGCCCACGCCGCGGGACGACCUGUCCGAGCAGGAGGACCUGGCGCUGCAGUGCGCGCUCACGCUGCUGCCGACGUCGAGCCCGGCGUCGCCGCAGCACGGCUGCCUCAACAUGCUCAAGACGGAAGCCAGCCUCACGUCCUUCGUGGCGCUCCUGGCCGCGCACGGCCGCGCCGUGGCCAAGUGCGGGCUGUGCCGCCUCCUGGAGACGAUCGCCACGGCCACGGCCACGCGGGACCUGGCGCUCGCCGCCGCCGCCUCGCCGCGCGUGUGGCAGGCGCUGCUGCCGCUGCUGCGGCACGGCGACGACCGCGUGUCCGGCGCCGCGGUGCGCGCCGUCGCCGCGAUCUGCUGCGGCGCCGAGCCGGCGCGCGGCAGCGCCGUCCACCACGGCGCCGUCCCCGCGCUCCUCGGCUGCCUGUCGUGGGCGUCCGCGGGCAACGGCAAGGCGCGUGGUGGCGCCGCCGCCGCGGCGUGGAGCGCGCUGGCCGCGCUCGAGGCGCUCGCCGCGUCGGAGGCCGGGCGCCGGGCGGUGGCGCGCGAGCCCGGCGCGGUGCGGGCGCUGGUGAGGCACGUGUUCUUGAUGUCGUCGAGCAACGAGGGAAGCGAGCACGCGGUGGCGGCGCUGCUGGCCGUGUGCAGGGAGUCCAGGGCGGCACGGAGCGAGGCUGCCGGCGCGGGGGUCGUCACGCAGGUGCUGCUGCUGCUGCAGAGCCAGUGCGGCACCAGGGCCAAGACCAGGGCGAGGUCGCUGCUCAAGCUCUUCAAGUCCAUGUGAAACAAGGGGUUUAGUUUAGGUGUUAAUGCUUAGAUGUUCUUGGCUUCAAGCUGUAAGUUUUUGCUUCAAGAACGUCCUCUAAUUGAUUUCAUGGCUACUUCUUGUAAGCUGCGUCAAGAAUGUCUGCUAACAAAGCUGGACACCAUAGCUAUGGUUAUUUCAUGGCCCCAAGUUACAUCAAGAAUGUCUGCUAAUAUCACGGCUUGCAGUCAGGUCCUGUGCAAGUCUCGACACCAUAGCCAGGGCUAUUUCAUGGCCCCAAGUUAUGCAGAUUUUGAUAGUACUGAUAAAGAAUACAUUGGAAUAGCAGCAUAAAGCGGGGAUAGCUCAGUUGGGAGAGCGUCAGACUGAAGAUCUGAAGGUCGCGUGUUCGAUCCACGCUCACCGCAUUUUUUUUGCCUUUUUUAUUUUCAUUCUGUUUUUAUAAACCUUUUAUUGUGUUUCUAUUUUUAUAAACCAUUUUUAAAUUACCAAAUAUGGUCCUGCUGAUUAAUUAAAUUUUGUCCUGACUGCAUUUUUUUUUAUUCUGUUUUUAAACCUUUCUUUAUUUUUGUUCUGUUUUUAUAAACCCUUUUUUAAUAUACACAUUUGGUCCUGCUGACUAAUUUAAUUUUUUCCCUGUUUUUAAACCUUUUGAUUUGAAUAGACAAAUUUAGUCCUCCAUUUGAACCUUUCGAAUAGACAAAUUUGGUCCGGCUGAUUAAUUUAAUUUUGUCCGGUUCUUGAACCUUUUGCAUAGAAAAACUUAGUCCUCGAUUUGAACCUUUCGAAUAGACAAAGUCGCAGACAAAUUUGAUCCGGCUAAUUAAUUUAGUUUUGUUUUGUUUUUAAACCUUUUUGCGUAGACAAACUUAGUCCUCCAUUUGAACCUUUCGAAUAGACAAAAUCGCAAGCAAUUUUUUAGUUAUAUAUGUGUAUACAUACUUAUAUAUUUCGGUCAUUUGUUUCAGUCCUUUUUCUCAAGCUUAUCAACCAGGCAAGGUCAUAAAUAGCUGCGAGUAUUCUAGGCUUUGCAAUUAAAAACGUGCAACCAGGUCGAUGAAAAAAAUAUAAUCUGCACCCCGCUCCCUUCAAGUUUUUUAUUCAAAUUACCUGCUUGAAUCAAGAGCUGAAAUGGAGAUGAAACGGUACAUGUAUAUUCCUCCGAUUCAUUCGGAAAGACAUGGUUACAUCUGCCAUGGAAGUCCCUAACUACUGCUACUUCGCAGAAAUAUCAGCUUACACAAGCUUACGAAUUUACAUCCCGUAGUCAUCUGUAAGAUUUUGUAGGAUUUACAUCAGGACGUAUAUGUACGUAUAACUAUGUAUACCAAGAACGACAACAAACCUUAAAGCCUACGAAUAUACAGAACUUCCUGUUACAAUUUCUCAAGAGCCCCAUUUCGCUGUACUACUGAACCUCCGGUAAGUGCCGUAUUGUAGUAACUAUACAAACAAGUUGCUUCCUGAACAUCUCUGAAUAACUACCUUGUCAUGGAGAUCCUGCGCUCUUGAUUCUCUUUUUCAUAAAUCGUUCUCAGAACCUUUUGGGGGAAAUAUUGGGGGUUUGGAGUUUCAUCUGGCCAACAUCCAGCCAAGGAUCUGAAAUGGCAGGAGCUGGAAUGCGUCUUGUCUGAUUUUGCGUGUAACUUAAUGUGUUGCCAAGACCAGGGGAGAGCAUUGGAUGAGGUGGAGAACGCAUGCACCUCGCGUUGGUUUGCUUAAACUGCCGCAGCGGGCUUGAGCAUGGUGAAACUGGCGUAGACAUGUUUGCUCUUCCAGGAAUAGGGCUGCUGUACAACAAACAUUUUCAGUUAAAAUUGUGGGAAACGGUACAAAGGUAAGGAUGGUAGUAGAAUACCUGUGUGGAGAAGUAACAGCAGUAGAAAAUCCAGUAAAAUCUCGCAUGCUCAGUGCAAUAUCUUUCAGAGGAGUAAUAAUCUUCCGAGAUGGCAACUCCCUGUUGGACUGCAACAAAAUAAAGGAUAAGGAGGGGUCAGCAUUUAGGAGAACAUAUCCUGUGAGUGAAAUAUGAUGGCAUUUCUGCUCCCCUUCUAAAGCAACAAUACCACACUGAACUUAACACUUACUGACAUUGUCAAGCUAGUAAGAUGGGUUAAUUAUCACCCCCCCCCAACCCACCACCCACCCACCCACACAAGGUCAAAUAAUGGGUUCAAACAAGAUCAAAUAGCUCGCCCAAAGGUGAAGUACUCGAAUCAGCGAUCCACUACAAGAUGUUCUAGUUUUCUUAAUUGCACUUGGAAAGUAGAUAAGCAAAUAGAACGAUAAAGAAUGAGAAAAAACUGAGAUUGCUUAACUAGAAACAAUACCAUUGUGUGUCUGCCAUCUGCUGGAGAAGACAUUGCGUUUCUCAAUACACUGGAUUUUGCAGCUCUCACUGCAGGAUGAUCCUGAACAAAAGGAUGAUCCAUCAGCUGGGCUGCAGAGGGACGAGAUGCAGGGUUGCGUUUCAAGCAAAGCUGCAAGAAACUUUUCCCUUCCUCUGAGAAACUGUCUGGGAUUUCAGGUAUAUCUUUACUGUUUGCAAUCUUAAAUAUUGCUGCUACCUGCAAAAUAAGAUUUGAUGACAAUGGCUUAGCAUUAUUCAUCACAGAUAACUGGAAAUGUGGAAAUCCACAACUUCUAAGUGAAGGCCUACCCCCUCAUAUUGGUGCCAAGGAGGUCUUGCCGUUGCCAUUUCAAUAAUGGUACAGCCCAGACUCCAAAUGUCCACUGAUAAACUGUAGCCUUUACUGUUCAUUAUAACCUGAAGAUUUCCCAAUGAUGGGAGAACUUCAUUCAGAGACGGAUAGCAGAUUACGACAAACAACCAAUGAAGUUCAGUAUUAAAAUAGCUCACCUCAGGAGCCAUCCAGUAAGGACUUCCUUUGAAAGAGCGUAUUUCAGCAAAAGAUGAUAUCUGUUCAACAAAGUAAAAUAAAUAAAUGGGUUUACAGAGGAAAAACAAAAGCAAGCACAAUCAGUGUGUAUCCUUGUUUUGGUGACCAUAAAAAAUACAAAACUUGUUCAUUGUUAACAAUCCUUUAGCUGGGCAUGCACAGAAGGGAAACAGACCCUUGGCACCCUUCCAUAACUUUCCUUUUCCACAUUUAUGUGAGUAGGCACUAGGCAGAUAACUGGAAACUUCAGUUUAUAAGAAAUCAGAAUUUGCACCUACUUUAAUUCCUUUUCUAUUAAAAAACAUGGAUUCUAAUGCAAUUGAGUAAUAUUUACUUCAGCUGCAAUUUCUCGAACUACUUCAACUGCAAUUUCUCGAACUACUUCAACUGCAAACUCUUUAAGGAUGCACAUAAGCAUUCCUCAGCGAAUUUCCAGGGUGCACAGGCGAAAAGGACUACCGUGGGUCGUACAAAAUGGAGGGCACUCGGGACAGAAUCAGUAGUUGACUUUUUAAGUCCAGAGAAAUACUAAAUAUUAUGAUAAUUGAAAGUGCUAAACACAGACAGAUAGAUAAACGGUCAGAAAGUAAAUGCUGCAUACAUGCUUAGCCAUGCCAAAGUCAGCAAGCUUGACUUCACCAUUAGGACCCACAAGUAUGUUUGCUCCUUUGAUAUCUCUGCCAAGAAAAUAAGUAUGACAUGAUUAUUGCACUUUGACCUAUAUGACUAUACCUAUGGGACAAGAACACAGUUUUAGACAACAAAACAACCUGUGGACAGUGUUUCGCCCAUGCAAGUAGGCAAGACCUGCAAGAAUUUGCCCAGUGUAAUUACGAAUCACAGGUUCCUUAAAAGGGCCAUAUUCUCUUAGUAACUUGUGGAUUGAACCCCCUGAAACAUACUCAAGAUAAAUGGAAAGUGCUUCAUCACUCUGCAUACAGAAACAGGUACGAUUAGAAAGUGUAAGCAUGGCCAUGUUGUAAUGCAACACCCAUAAAAGCUGAUGAACACUAAGCACUGUGAUACUAGAACCACAAAACUAACCCUUGAGGUGGACAAACAAUAGAACAGUAGCAUUUUACCAAUUUCUGCAGCUCCUAAUACCAAUACCACCCAAAACACUGAAUGAAUUCCAUAUUCUUUAGGUCACUAUAUACAGUCACAUGCAUUGGAGCACAGAAUUAAUGUUGCUAUCGUAUAUGUAUACAAUAACAUUCUUUGACAUGUUAAGUUAAUAAGUUCAAAUAGUGAUGAAGCCCUUGUAAACAAGUAAACUUUUUGUGCAUGAAUGCCCCAACCCUUUCUCUAAAAUAGUCAAUCAAGCACAAAUGCACUAUAUAUGUUAUCUGUGGAAUCUCACUAAGGAAUUCAUAACAACUUUCUACUAGCUCACAAAAAUGAAUCAUAUUCAUAUGACAACAUAUGCAUGGAAUAAAAAACGUGAUAGGGCAAACAAGUACUGGAACUAAAUUGCUGCAGAGAUAACUGAAAUGGAUUAUGAAAUAAAACUUACCAGCUCACUUCCAUGAUACUGCACUAUGUUCGGGUGGGAGAGUUGUCUAAGCAUAUCUAUUUCCUGUCAAUACCAAAAUUAAUCAUGUGGAUCAGUCAAUCAAACAAGAGAUAAAAAAUACAUUCAUGAGACGGCAAACCUAGGUAGACAGCAGCAGUAAGUACCUGAUUUAAUUGUUUGAGUCGUUCCUUUGAAUGUGGAUCGUCCAUAAUAACUUCAACCUCCUUAAUUGCACAAAACUGUCCAUUUUCACUGCAUUGUUGAACAAUCAUAAACUAAGGAUAUUUUUUUAAUAUGAUUGAAUAUAUCAGUUUGUUUGCACCGUCAUAUCUCUAAUGAAUAAGUGCAGCAUGAGGUGCACUUCUAAUGCAUUAAAUUUCACUAGAUAUCACAAAGUUUCCAUGAUGUAAAAAGGGGGCACAAAUGUGAUACCUGUUAAAUCCAAGGUAAACCUGGCCAAAUGUACCACUCCCUAGCAAUUUUCCUUUCUUCCAUUGCGACUGGGACUGUGAGGAGGUAGUAGGAGAUGCAGGAAGAGGUGGGCAGGAACUGGGAGAUGAAGGAAGAGGCGAGCAUGGACUGUGGAUUGGAGGAAGAGGUGAGCAAGCACCAGAAGCUGGAUGGAGAGGUGAGCAUGCACCAGAAGCUGGGUGAAGAGGUGAGCAAGCAGCAGAAGCUGGAAGAAGAGGAGAGCAAGUAGCAGAAGCUGGAGGAAGAGGUAAGGGAUGUGGUGGGCUCCUCAACCCAUCCAUCUUUCUUACUGGUGACCUCGGGCUAAAACCAAAUUCUCUAGAAUUUCCAUUGCUCACAGCGAAGACAUGGCCUUUUGGGACAG